GGCCACCAAUAUAAUAAAAUCACACCGUGAGGUGACAUUCAGUGCCUGCCCCACCCCCUUCCCAUCAUGCUCUGAGCUACUCACAAUUCAUUGACAGACUCUCUGGGGACAGUGGAGCCUUCCAGGAACACCCCUUCCUCUUUACCCCCUCCUGACACCCAGGGACCAUCUCUCAGGGGAGUCUGUCCAACCUUUAGCUGUCACUCAUUUUCUCUUAGCUUUUUUCAUUCUUCUUUUAACCCAACAGCAACAGCUUUUACCCAGAGCUCCUAGCAAGCACAAGGAGUUGAUUUUGGUGACUUUUCUGUUUAAGGAGUUGCACGGGGCUGGUCUAAGCAAUGAGUCUGGUCAGGAGCUUCAAAAGCCAGGAGUGACCAGGAACCGGACCUAGAUACCAGAGAAAGAUUCCGGGAGAGGUAGACAUCUUCAUCCAGAGAGCCAUAGACAGCCUCUGCUCAUUGAACAUGAGGGAGAAUUGCACUGACACCUUUAAGAGGUGAGAGGUUUUAAGAUUAUGAGGACUGCUAUUAAAAGGGAUUGUUGGAUGUCAGGUAUGUCCUUUCUCUUGUACCCAACCAUGAGGCCAGCAGUCACCUUUGUCACAGCUCAUAUGCUGGAGUGUACUAUGCUGUUACAGACCCAAGGCAAUAGGACCAUUCAGCCAUGGUCUGAAUCUCUGACAGCUCUGGCCAAAAUAAGCUUUCCUUUUUUAAUCUGUUUGAUCUCAAGUGUUUAGUCACAGUUACAGAUGCAGGCUAACAGUGACUGAGAGUCCAGGUGCAGAUGCUCAUUCUUUCUCAAGUGCCAUCUUCCUUGCAGGAAGCAGAGGACAGAGGAAACAGUCCAGGCAGUGGAGUCACCACCAAAUGAAAGACAGACAGCGGAGCAACCGAUUGGAGUUCCUGAGCCUGUUCUAGCAGGUAUCCUAGCCUACCAGUGCUCUCACACAUUCCCUUUUCUCUGUGAGACUACUCCUAUGAACGCCAGGCUUCCGCUUCCUUCCCACAGACCCCGUUGGGGUCCAGGUAUCCAUGCGUGGAAUCUCUGUCCUUAUUUUUCUCUCCCUGGCUGUGGCAUUGAUAUUUUUCUUGCCAUCCUGGGGCUCUUCAAGAUACGUUUGUUUUUCUUUUACUAUAAUUUCAGGUAAGGUGAAAUCCAUGAGGAUACAGCCUUAAGGGGAAAUAGCUUCUAGCAAAAGUUAUCAGGAAGCCACAUGCUUUCUGGGAAUGACUGUGGUGUCUACAUAAUCAUCUCAACCUUUUAUACCUCAGGUCAAUUCAAUUUCUGCUCUAACAAGGCCAUAGCAAUUACUUCAUGACCAAUCCACUUCGGAGUGGAGACAAAAAAAGUACAAGAAUUAAGGAGCCAGCCCACCCCACUCCCAGCUUAGAAAUGGGAGCUCCAUUUGUGCAGACCUUAAAUUAGGCUGAGCUCAUCUGAAGUGAUGGGGGGGAUUAGACUCCUAGCGGCAGACUCAAGGGAAUAAAUAACCAGCUGAAGCCACAAAUCUUAAAACAUAAUCUUCCAUCUUAACUCCCAAGAGGCCAUAAGAUUAUUGAUAAGAUAAGAAGAAGAAGAAGAAGAAGAAGAAGAAGAAGAAGAAGAAGAAGAAGAAGAAGAAGAAGAAGAAGAAGAAGAAGAAGAAAUGAGAGGUCAUACUAGGGAGAACAAGCUGAGGGCUGCAGAUACUGUGACUCAAGUCAGCCUCACUUUUGGGAUACUCCUGUCUGAGAAAAUGACACAGGAGGUGAGUCACACAGGCCAGCACAGAUGCUGGUCUCAGAAGAGAGGAUGCAGGGGUGAGAUGUAGGGGAGGUAGCAAAUCUGGUAUGAGGGUGAGCUGUAAAAAUAACCAUUAGCCCAACCCAGUUGAUCUACAUCACAGCUUGAAAGAAGAAACACCCUUGGUUAUAUGUUACCUUUGGUUAGAAGACACGUCCUAGUUUCAGAGAUUAUUUAAAUGUGGGGGAAAUGUGUCUCAGAAUAGAUAAAGCAUGGAAACCCAUGUUACAAGUCAGUGUCACUUGCCUCCCAAGUAUGAGGAUCAACAUUCAGACUCCUGGAUCCCAACAUAUUCUGCGUGUUUGUGGGGAUGGCAGUCCGUGUACGACUCAAGCCUUGAAAGGCAAAGGCAAGAUCCUCCGAGCAGGCUGGCUACUGAGAUGAGCCAGAAGGGGGACUCGACAUCUGACUGAGAGGCCCUGUUUCGCCAAAUGAGGUGAAGGGUGGCUAAGGAUCGUUCCCAACAUCAGCCUUGGGCCUCUGAGCGUGCCCACAAUAGCUAAACACGUGCAAGCACACACUGUAAAGAAAUCGGUGUCAGCAUAUUCCCAUGGGAGGACGCAUGUCAUUACCAGGUGAAGGACGGAUGGAUGGAUGGAUGGACGGA
rnacentral:sRNA from 1 species